rnacentral:rRNA from 1 species
UACAGAGGUCCCAAGCGUUGUUCGGAUUCAUUGGGCGUAAAGGGUGCGUAGGCGGCGCGGUAAGUCGGGUGUGAAAUCUCGGGGCUUAACUCCGAAACUGCAUUCGAUACUGCCUUGCUCGAGUACUGGAGAGGAGACUGGAAUUUACGGUGUAGCAGUGAAAUGCGUAGAUAUCGUAAGGAAGACCAGUGGCGAAGGCGAGUCUCUGGACAGUUACUGACACUGAGGCACGAAGGCCAGGGGAGCAAACGGG